rnacentral:rRNA from 1 species
AGAGUUUGAUCCUGGCUCAGAGCGAACGCUGGCGGCAGGCCUAACACAUGCAAGUCGAACGAACUCUUCGGAGUUAGUGGCGGACGGGUGAGUAACACGUGGGAAAGUGCCUUUAGGUUCGGAAUAGCUCCUGGAAACGGGUGGUAAUGCCGAAUGUGCCCUUCGGGGGAAAGAUUUAUCGCCUUUAGAGCGGCCCGCGUCUGAUUAGCUAGUUGGUGGGGUAAUGGCCCACCAAGGCUACGAUCAGUAGCUGGUCUGAGAGGAUGACCAGCCACAUUGGGACUGAGACACGGCCCAAACUCCUACGGGAGGCAGCAGUGGGGAAUCUUGCGCAAUGGGCGAAAGCCUGACGCAGCCAUGCCGCGUGUAUGAUGAAGGUCUUAGGAUUGUAAAAUACUUUCACCGGUGAAGAUAAUGACUGUAGCCGGAGAAGAAGCCCCGGCUAACUUCGUGCCAGCAGCCGCGGUAAUACGAAGGGGGCUAGCGUUGCUCGGAAUUACUGGGCGUAAAGGGAGCGUAGGCGGACAUUUAAGUCAGAGGUGAAAUCCCGGAGCUUAACUUCGGAACUGCCUUUGAUACUGGGUGUCUUGAGUGUGAGAGAGGUAUGUGGAACUCCGAGUGUAGAGGUGAAAUUCGUAGAUAUUCGGAAGAACACCAGUGGCGAAGGCGACAUACUGGCUCAUUACUGACGCUGAGGCUCGAAAGCGUGGGGAGCAAACAGGAUUAGAUACCCUGGUAGUCCAA